UUUAUUGGAGAGUUUGAUCCUGGCUCAGGACGAACGCUGGCGGCGUGCCUAAUACAUGCAAGUCGAGCGGAUCUUUGGGAGCUUGCUCCCGAAGGUUAGCGGCGGACGGGUGAGUAACACGUGGGCAACCUGCCUAUGAGACUGGGAUAACUCCGGGAAACCGGGG
rnacentral:rRNA from 1 species